rnacentral:lncRNA from 1 species
GGCAGGCUCUAGAAGCUGGAAAAGGCAAAGAAAUGGAUUCUUCCCUGGAGCUUCCAGAAGGAACACAGCUCUGCUGGCUCAUUUUCGACUCCUGACCUCCAGAACUGUAAGAGAAUAAAUUCAUGUUGCUGUAAGCCACGAAGUUAGUAGUAAUUUGUUUCAGCAGCCAUAGUAAACAUACAGGGAGCAACAGCAUAGAAGAAAAGAGGAAAAUGUAUGAGAAAGGCUAGAAUUGAGACUAAUCUCUCUGAAGGACUGAUCUCGAAGAUGAGGAGAAGCUCCGCCGCCCAGCCAUGUGCUCAGAAGGGCUCCAGUCCCUGCACCCCUGGAAGCUGCAGAGAAAGUGGGCUCAAUCACGACUGCAUCUCGACACACACCAGUUUGUGAAUGACCCAUGGUCUUUAAUGCCUGAGUGUGGAGUCCAGGUGAGCCCUGGGGAGAAAAGACUUGAAUGACCCAUAUUAUAAUGGAUUAAUGUUGGCAACUUCAGUAUGAAUUCAUGUUUGUUUAGUAUGGGUAUAGAAGGAUACAUAUAGAGGUAUUUAUAGAUAUGUACAUAUACAUGGGUUGGUAUACACACCUAUGUGCCCUUGCUCUGUUAGCUAAAAGAACAUAGAAGCAAGGACACUGCAGCAGAAAUGAGCACAUGUAGAAAUCGGAUUUUGAUUUCUAAUACCAUUCUAGUUAAAAGAAGUAAGGCUCCUUGCAGAAACGGUCAAGUCCAGAACAGGGGCAGGGAAUACAGAAUGAAUCUGAACACCCUGUAGUGCCCAAAGCCAUGGAGGUGCUGAAAAAAC